rnacentral:rRNA from 1 species
CAGCAGCCACGGUAAUACGGAGGGGGCUAGCGCUGUUCGGAAUUACUGGGCGUAAAGCGCACGUAGGCGGCUUGGUAAGUUGAGGUGAAAGCCUGGAGCUCAACUCCAGAAUUGCCUUUAAGACUGCCGAGCUAGCAGGUGAGAGAGGUAAGUGGGAUUCCGAGUGUAGAGGUGAAAUUCGUAGAUAUUCGGAAGAACACCAGUGGCGAAGGCGGCUUACUGGCUCAUACUGGACGCUGAGGUGCGAAAGCGUGGGGAGCAAACAGGAUUAGAGACCCCUGUAGUCCCUGUCUCUUAUACA